GGAGAGGUGUCCGAGUGGCCGAAGGAGCACGCCUGGAAAGUGUGUAUACGGCAACGUAUCGAGGGUUCGAAUCCCUCCCUCUCCG
rnacentral:tRNA from 1 species